UGUCUUCUGCUAGCGCAUAGAAGAUAACUCCUGCCCAGUGAAUAAUUCAACGGCCGCGGUAUCCUAACCGUGCUAAGGUAGCAUAAUCACUUGUCUAUUAAUUGUAGACUAGAAUGAAAGGAUAAACGAAAUAAGCCCUGUCUCUAUUAACCCAUCUUAAAUUAUAUUCUAGAUGAAGAUAUCUAAAUAAAGACGAAGGACAAGAAGACCCUAUAGAGCUUUAUCACAAAAAAGAACCAUUCUUUUCCAAGAUUCGGUUGGGGCGACCAAGGGACAUCAAUCACCCUUAAUUAUUAGAUUCAUUAAUCUAUACUAUGACCCUUAAAUGAGAGAGUAAGAACAAGCUACCUUAGGGAUAACAGGCUAAUCCAGUUAGAGAGUUCUUAUCUAUAAUUGGGGUUGGCACCUCGAUGUUGGCUUAGGAUAUCUUUACGGCGCAAAAGUCGUAAUAGACGGUUUGUUCAACCAUUAAUCUCCU
rnacentral:rRNA from 1 species